GCAGAAUGUGACUAAAAAUAUGCUGAUUUCAAAGACUGAUGUGAAGAUUACGUGAGAGAAUUAGAGUGUUUUAGAGAGUCUCCCUAUGUUCACACCAGGCCGGCCUCAAACUCCUGAGCUCAACUGAUCUUCCCACCUCAGCCUCCCAAGUAGCUGGGACUACAGGUGUGUGCCAUUGCACUUGACUUAAAACAUUUAAAAUUUAUAAAAUAGAACCCUCAUGAUUAAAAACAAGCUUAUUUAAAAAUACUAGUCUACUAUUGUUAUUUGUUAAGGUAAAAAAAAACUUUAAGUAAGCCUUUUUACCAAACUCUUCAGCUAUAG
rnacentral:lncRNA from 10 species